AGUGAACGCUGGCGGUAGGCCUAACACAUGCAAGUCGAACGGCAGCACAGUAAGAGUUUGCUCUUACGGGUGGCGAGUGGCGGACGGGUGAGGAAUACAUCGGAAUCUACUUUUUCGUGGGGGUUAACGUAGGGAAACUUACGCUAAUACCGCAUACGAUCUACGGGUGAAAGCAGGGGAUCUUCGGACCUUGCGCGAAUGAAUGAGCCGAUGUCGGAUUAGCUAGUUGGGGGGGUAAAGGCCCACCAAGGCGACGAUCCGUAGCUGGUCUGAGAGGAUGAUCAGCCACACGGGAACUGAGAGACGGUCCAGACACCUACGGGAGGCAGCAGUGGGGAAUAUUGGACAAGGGGCGCAAGCCUGAUCCAGCCAUACCGCGUGGGUGAAGAAGGCCUUCGGGUUGUAAAGCCCUUUUGUUGGGAAAGAAAAGCAGCAGGUUAAUACCCCGCUGUUCUGACGGUACCCAAAGAAUAAGCACCGGCUAACUUCGUG
rnacentral:rRNA from 1 species